UCCGUAGGGUGAACCUGCGGAAGGAUCAUUACCGAGUAUGCCCUUCUGGGCGGACCUCCAACCCACUGUAUACUACUUUUUGUUGCUUUGGCGGGCCCGCGCAAGCUGCUGGCUUCGGCUGGUAAGUGCCCGCCAGAGGAAACUAAACCCUAAAAAUUUUUAUUGUCUGAAAAAUUCUAAAUAUUUAAAACUUUCAACAACGGAUCUCUUGGCUCUGGCAUCGAUGAAGAACGCAGCGAAAUGCGAUAAGUAAUGUGAAUUGCAGAAUUCAGUGAAUCAUCGAAUCUUUGAACGCACAUUGCGCCCCUUGGUAUUCCGAGGGGCAUGCCUGUUCGAGCGUCAUUAUCACCCUUCAAGCUCUGCUUGGUGUUGGGGCCUGCUGUUAGGCAGCCCUUAAAAUUAGUGGCAGUGACCAUUAGGCUCUAAGCGUAGUAAUUCUUCUCGCUAUAGCGUCUAGUGGUUCCGCGCCAAAACCCCCAAUUUUUUAUGAUGACCUCGAUCAGGUAGGAUGCCCG
rnacentral:rRNA from 1 species